rnacentral:lncRNA from 1 species
GUGGGACUUGUGGGUGCGGGGACGUCAGGUGGCAUGGGUACGUGGGGGGUCUGGGGGCUCGUGGGGAGCGGUUUGGGGUCAGAACGGAGGAUGUGGAGUAGUGCUGGAGUGCAUUCAUUGAUUUCUUCCUGAGAGGGGAUUGGGGUUCCCUGCAGCCCAAAGGUGGAGCCCUGAUCCAUAACCCCACAUGAGCCCAGUACCACAUACUACUCCGCGUGACCCCGAGGCUCCACAUGACCCAUAACCCUGUGAGCACCAUAACCCCAUAUGAGGCUGUGGGCAGGGAUGGGUCUGUUCCUGGCUUGUUCAGGGGGUACUAUAAGGUGGCUCUGGGGCCACUGUAGGUCAGCAGCCUGAAUAAUCCUCUGACGCUCAUCUUGCCCUCAUCUUGGGGGGCCAAAUGGAGGUCGAGGGGUUUGUUGGGGGUAAGGAAGAGGCUCCAUGCGUGUAUCCCAUAGCUGCCCAGAGCAGCCCCAGAGCCAUCGUAGAGCUGCCCCAGAGCAGCCCCAUCACUGCCCGCAGCCCGUGGCCAGCAGCAGUUCCACCAGCAGCAGUGUGUUGGGUAAAGGCAGCUCCCAGGUGUGGCUCUGCUCCAAAGCUGCCCCAAAGUGCUCCUGAAGCCCUCCCAUAGGCGUCCUUUAGCUGCCCCACAACACCAUAAGGCUUCCCUACAUCCCAGCACAUCAACCCAAGUGCCAGUGGGGUGUGCGAGAAACGCUCACAUCCCUGAUGUUCCACCAGGCACAGCUCUCAGUGCAGCAGCAAAGCUCAUUCCUGAUUGCUGUGGCGUUACUGCACUCUCCUCUGUGAGCUCCUUCUGCUCCUGUAGCUCUCCUCCCAUGGCACCCACUGCUCUCCUGUUCCCCCUUGGCUGGGCACUGCAGGCUCACAGUCUCCACCACGCAUCCGCUGUGCAGUUUUUCCAGGUGUCGUCUAUGGCCAACGUGUUCCUUUCGGGCUGAUUGUGUGCUUUUCUAUGCCGACAGGCAGGCAGGAUUUCUUGCAGCUGUUGCACGUGCUGGGUCUCAUGCUCCGUCCUGCAGCUGUGCCUUAUCUCGUGUGCACUCUCCACCUCCCCCUGGUCAGAACGUCCUGGCCCUGCUGUGCUCUGCUCAGCAUCUGUCUGCUGCACGAUGACACAGCCGUCACACUGAGCCUGCCUUGUGCUAUCCCUGCAGAUGUUCGGAUGAUUUCCUCUGCCACUCUCCCACCCGUAACUGCUCGGGUGCUUUCCAGCAGCACACAGCUGGCACACAGAGCCAUGCUGACCACGGCAGGGUGCAGCUCCUUGUUGCAGUCCCGUAGCGGUGGGUGGCCGUGCCAAAGGGGGAUCCCACCGCUGCUGCUCCCCAUCCUUCUGCGCUCGUUCUGCACCACCGUGCAUUCCUUUUCCUCGUGCUGCGCUGCCCUCAGAGUGCUCUGCCCAUUUCUCGGGGUCGUUGCAGCAGCUGCUGCAAGUGCAGAUGUUGGAGCAGUUUCUUCCCCACCGCGAGAUGCCUUCCAAGAGGCACUGCCCCUACUGCUGCAACGGCCCCAGUCUGGGACGCCCUUUUGUAAGGGGUUGUGUUGUUUGUUCUGCAGCUGACUUGGGUUUCUUCUGCCACUGUCCCAUGAAAGAGUUGAUUUGCUUCAGUCCAUCCCUGCUCCGUUCUUGGUUCAAGCCAAGCUCCAGUCCCUUCCCUGGUCUCAGUGGGAUCAGUUUGUUCUGUUCUCAUGCACUUACAGAAACAGAAGCUACCAACCCACCAAACCCUGGGACAGGUAUUUCCCUACAGAAGCAUUCAUGUCCUUCUCCUGGCCCCUUUGGCCAAUUCCCAGCUCUCCAAACUGAGGCGUAUGGCUGCAGCCCUCCCCAUGGCUUCUUUGGGGCAGCUGUGGGGCAGCCUCACCCCGAGAAGGAGAUGCCUUUUCCCCACACGCAGCUGGUUCUACGUCCACAUGAGGUGACAUGCUGUUUCUAUGGCAUGAAAACAUGCUGUUUCUAUGGCAACAUCAGGUGAGGACAUGGGGUCGUGGGUCACAUGGGGGUCCUGCAGGGUCACAGAGUUACGGGGUUAUGUGUGGCUAUGGGUUUAGAUGGGGUUUCGAAUCACAGUGAUAGGGUCAGAUUGGAUGGUAGGGUCAGAUGGGGUGACAUGGAGUUACGGAUCACAUGGGUGGUAUGGUCGGGGUGAGGUGGGGGCAGGGAUCCCAGAGUUAUGGGCCACAUGGCGUCGGGUCAUAGCGUGAUGGGGGCAGGCAGAGUCAGGGAGUCACAGGAUCAUGUGGGGAUAUGGUUCCCCCAGGGCUCUGGGUCACGUGCAGCCAUGGGGUCACGCACAUAGAGGGCGAUGAGGUCAUCUUGGUUUAUGGCUCAUGUGGGGUUACGGCUCAGGGCCCCACCUUUGGGCCACAGGGACACCCAGUCCCCUCUCAGGAUGAAAUGAAACCACUGCAAACUCUGCCCCCUUCCUCUUUUUACCUCAAACCACUCCCCACAUCCUCCCAUACUCUCUAUGUCCCCAUACUACCCCAUACCCCUGUGUCCCACCUGCAGCCCACGUCUUGUCUUCUCCUGAACAGCAUUCUGCUCCUGCAGCCUGUGUUCCCACAUCCCUUAAUGUCCCUAUAUCCACCAAACACACCCCCAGAGAGCCCUAUAGCUCCUCAAGGACCUUCUCAGACUCAGUACAUCUCCCCUACAGACAAGCUGGGCCAUCACAGGCUCCUGCAGUCCCCAGCAGCAGCCCACAUCCCCCUCUGAGCUCCCGCUGAAACCCCUUGUUUUCUUCCUCACACCUCCCUUACCCCCUCAGUCCUCUCCUGGGAUCUCAGAGUCCCACAGUCCGUGACAGGACCCCCAUUACCAUCCCAGGAUCCCCAUAGCCCACCAACGAGGAACCCCGCAGCAAUCCACAUCUCAGGAUGGGGCUCCAGCUGUGCACCAAUGCGUUCAUUCAAGAGAGGAGAAUGAAUGAGCGUAAAGGGGGGCCUUUCCUCCUGACGUUGCCCACCGCCUGCGUGUUGGCUGUGCCGUGCCAGCAGCAUUUUGUCCUCGAGCUGUGAGUGCAGGUAUGCGUGCAUACGGGGUUGUGCAGAGGUGGGGCUGAACAUCAGAGCGUGCAUUGCGCUUGGCUGUGUGCACAGUGCUUGCAGGUGCAAGUUUUGCAUCUGUGUGCAUGCACAUGGCUGUGUGCAAGGCUGGAGCAGUGGUCGAGUCUUCGUGCUCGUGGGUGUGCAGAGGGAUGGGGUGCACACAUGUGAACACAGCGCCAUGGGAGGCACUGCAAAGGAAACAGCUCCAUCCCAGCCACAACAGUGACAGGCAGGCAGGCACUGGGGAGGGCUGCACGGCAGAGGGACGCCCUCUGAGUGCCACAACCUGGAGCGCUGUCUGCAAGCAGAACAGUGCCUGGAUGGCAGCCUGCUGGUCCUAAGCUGCAGAGAUGCUGCUCUGGACCAACAGCCUGUCAUUUUUUCAGAAAACGCUG